UGCAGGGUGGUAAGAUAAAGAGGCAAAAACUUAAGUGCAGUGUGAAAAUGCUUUGUGUAUAACCACAACAGAAGAGGGUGGAUUUUUCAUAAAUCAAGUCCAAAUUAUAUCCGUGGACCCCACAACACCUAAGAGUUAUGUCAAAGAGAGA